AAAGGGGAAGCCGAAAACCUUUUUCAGAGUAGGCA
rfam:Flavobacteriaceae bacterium 3519-10, complete genome.